rnacentral:rRNA from 1 species
UACAGAGGUCCCAAGCGUUGUUCGGAUUCACUGGGCGUAAAGGGUGCGUAGGUGGCGCCGUAAGUCGGGUGUGAAAUUUCGGAGCUUAACUCCGAAACUGCAUUCGAUACUGCGGUGCUUGAGGACUGGAGAGGAGACUGGAAUUCAUGGCGUAGCAGUGAAAUGCGUAGAGAUCAUGAGGAAGACCAGUGGCGAAGGCGGGUCUCUGGACAGUUCCUGACACUGAGGCACGAAGGCCAGGGGAGCAAACGGG